rnacentral:rRNA from 1 species
AUUGAACGCUAGCGGGAUGCUUUACACAUGCAAGUCGAACGGCAGCGCGGACUUCGGUCUGGCGGCGAGUGGCGAACGGGUGAGUAAUGUAUCGGAACGUGCCCAGUAGCGGGGGAUAACUACGCGAAAGCGUAGCUAAUACCGCAUACGCCCUACGGGGGAAAGCAGGGGAUCGUAAGACCUUGCACUAUUGGAGCGGCCGAUAUCGGAUUAGCUAGUUGGUGAGGUAACGGCUCACCAAGGCGACGAUCCGUAGCUGGUUUGAGAGGACGACCAGCCACACUGGGACUGAGACACGGCCCAGACUCCUACGGGAGGCAGCAGCGGGGAAUUUUGGACAAUGGGGGCAACCCUGAUCCAGCCAUCCCGCGUGUGCGAUGAAGGCCUUCGGGUUGUAAAGCACUUUUGGCAGGAAAGAAACGUCGCGGGCUAAUACCCCGUGGAACUGACGGUACCUGCAGAAUAAGCACCGGCUAACUACGUG